AUUGGCACCUGGGAUGCCACAGGUGGUAUCAGAGUAGAAUAUCGCAGAACAAAUCCCUUACACUGAGGCCUAGGAUAAAUAAACUGUUUAGAAUACCUAGGAAAGAUAAAUGUCCUCAUUUCAAAGAUUAAACCUCCAACUCAUGUCUUCAUUUCUUUUGUAGGAAUAACACAGGGAAGAUAAUCUGUAGAAUGUAUUGAACAACCUAAAGUCACGGAUGAUCUGACCAGGGCUGAAUUU
rnacentral:lncRNA from 1 species